rnacentral:rRNA from 1 species
GAUGAAUGCUGGCGGCGUGCCUAACACAUGCAAGUCGAGCGGCAGCGAGUUUUACACUGAAUUCUGGAAGCUUCUGGGUAAUAUAGAAGAUCUAUUCAAGAAUUUUGUGUAAAAUGUCGGCGAGCGGCGGACGGCUGAGUAACGCGUAGGAAUUUGCCCCAAAGUGAGGAAUAACUGCCCGAAAGGGUAGCUAAUGCCGCAUACGGUCUUCGGAUUAAAGCCUUCGGGCGCUUUGGGAGAAGCCUGCGUUGGAUUAGGUAGUUGGUAGGGUAAUGGCCUACCAAGCCGACGAUCCAUAGCUGGUCUGAGAGGAUGAUCAGCCAGACUGGAACUGAGACACGGUCCAGACUCCUACGGGAGGCAGCAGUGAGGAAUCUUCCACAAUGGGCGAAAGCCUGAUGGAGCAACGCCGCGUGAAGGAUGAAGGCCUUCGGGUUGUAAACUUCUUUUAUGAGUGAAGAAUAUGACGGUAACUCAUGAAUAAGCACCGGCUAACUACGUGCCAGCAGCCGCGGUCAUACGUAGGGUGCAAGCAUUAUCCGGAGUGACUGGGCGUAAAGAGUUGCGUAGGCGGUUUAAUAAGUGAAUAGUGAAACCUGGUGGCUCAACCAUACAGACUAUUAUUCAAACUGUUAAACUCGAGAAUGGUAGAGGUAACUGGAAUUUCUAGUGUAGGAGUGAAAUCCGUAGAUAUUAGAAGGAACACCGAUGGCGUAGGCAGGUUACUGGGCCAUUUCUGACGCUAAGGCACGAAAGCGUGGGGAGCGAACCGG